rnacentral:tRNA from 1 species
GUAGUCGCGGCCGAGGGGUUAAGGCGAUGGACCAGAAAUCCAUUGGGGUCUCCCCGCAUAGGUUCGAAUCCUGUCGACUUCC